UACGAAGGGGGCUAGCGUUGUUCGGAUUUACUGGGCGUAAAGCGCACGUAGGCGGACUAUUAAGUCAGAGGUGAAAUCCCAGGGCUCAACCCUGGAACUGCCUUUGAUACUGGUAGUCUCGAGUCCGAGAGAGGUGAGUGGAACUCCUAGUGUAGAGGUGGAAUUCGUAGAUAUUAGGAAGAACACCAGUGGCGAAGGCGGCUCACUGGCUCGGUACUGACGCUGAGGUGCGAAAGCGUGGGGAGCAAACAGG
rnacentral:rRNA from 1 species